UUAGUCUCUAGAUUUUUCGAGUCUCUCUCUUCUGGACUCUCAGUCUUUUUCUUCUGGUUUCUUCGAUCUUUGAUCUCUUAUGAGUUGUCUGGCCAAAAUAUUGGUUGAGUCUAUGUGAUUCAUGUUGCUACAGUAAUCAAGCCUGAAAUAGUGGCUGAUUGGGUGUAUGUAGUGGUUGCCUGAAAGUUUUAUUCGUGUUUUUUGGUUAGGUCUUAAGGUCUUUUCUGAAACUAGUUUUCCAGCCGUGCAAUGCACGGGCUAUGUCAUUUUUUAGGCAAUAUUUAU
rnacentral:lncRNA from 1 species